rnacentral:rRNA from 1 species
AGGUCACUGCUAUCGGUGUUCGUCUAAGCCAUGCGAGUCAUAUGUUCUUCGUGAACAUGGCGUACUGCUCAGUAACACGUGGAUAACCUGCCCUUGGGUCUGGCAUAACCCCGGGAAACUGGGGAUAAUACCGGAUAACGCAUAUCUGCUGGAAUUCUUUAUGCGUGAAAUGGAUUCGUCUGCCCAAGGAUGGGUCUCGGCCUAUCAGGUAGUAGUGGGUGUAAUGUACCUACUAGCCGACGACGGGUACGGGUUGUGAGAGCAAGAGCCCGGAGAUGGAUUCUGAGACAUGAAUCCAGGCCCUACGGGGCGCAGCAGGCGCGAAAACUUUACAAUGCGGGAGACCGUGAUAAGGGGACACCGAGUGCCAGCAUUAUAUGUUGGCUGUCCGGGUGUGUAAAAUACACCUGUUAGCAAGGGCCGGGCAAGACCGGUGCCAGCCGCCGCGGUAACACCGGCGGCCCGAGUGGUGAUCGUGUUUAUUGGGUCUAAAGGGUCCGUAGCCGGUUUGGUCAGUCCUCCGGGAAAUCUGACGGCUCAACCGUUAGGCUUUCGGGGGAUACUGCCAGACUUGGAACCGGGAGAGGUAAGAGGUACUACAGGGGUAGGAGUGAAAUCUUGUAAUCCCUGUGGGACCACCUGUGGCGAAGGCGUCUUACCAGAACGGGUUCGACGGUGAGGGACGAAAGCUGGGGGCACGAACCGGAUUAGAUACCCGGGUAGUCCCAGCCGUAAACGAUGCUCGCUAGGUGUCAGGCAUGGCGCGACCGUGUCUGGUGCCGCAGGGAAGCCGUGAAGCGAGCCACCUGGGAAGUACGGCCGCAAGGCUGAAACUUAA